UUGAUAAAACCGUGGAACUCUGCGUUUUGGCUUCACCCAAUUAGGGCUUCAAUUGUUAUCCUCCUUCCAGAACUCAACCUCGCCGUCUCCCCUUUUCAUAAUCUGCAAAGCUAAUGAUUCCUCCUCUCAUCUCUUUAUCUUCCCUAUCGUUCAAUAUAUUUCUAUUGCUCAACGUAUUUCUUUUGAUUAGCCAAUAAUUGUUAUUCACAUUAAACCCAGUAACAAUGUGGACCUUUCUGUUUCCUUCACGACAAUCUAUAAAUAGAAGAGGGUUGAGAGAAUGAUGGAUCUUCAUCUCCACUCAACAAGCUCCGAUUCUGUCCCGGAAUCCACUGCUCUGUUUUGGCCGGCGAGACCACAAAACGAUCCGUGGAAGAUGUCCCUGACAUAUCAUGGGACUGUGAGAUAGAUUCAGUCAAGAACGCCACUUCUCUUCAUAGAUUGCUCUCCAGUUCAGCAGAAAAUAGCUAUUGACAGAGUCGACAUCGGAGAGAGAGGACUUGAAUAAGCUGAAAAAGUAAAGAAAAGAAACUCACCGGUGAUUAUGGCUGUUGUGGAACGAGGGUCACAGUUCUCCGUUACCUCAUCGGCUGGACAUAACAUAAAGAAAAAAUAAAUCCUCAAAUAUAACAUAAAUAUAAAAAAUCAACAACAAAUACUAAUAAUAGCAAUGACAUUGUCCUAAACAAAUACAAAAUAUAUAUUUAGUGACUAAGAUUACCUCAGAGUUAAAACUGUAUUUUCCAUUCGGAGGUAGAGACAUUGAUUUGGGCAAUGGAAUGUAUGAAUUGAAGACAGUUUCAGGUAACGUUUGCUACGGAUUUUUCUCAAUUGGUGAAGAUGGUUUUGAAACCAGGAGAAUGGCCAGCAUUUGAAAGCUAUCUGGAAGACAUCAAGCUUCUCAAAGGAAGUUUCCUCAACUCAGAUAUCGUCCAUGUACCUCGGACGGCAAACCUUCGGGCGGAUAGCUUAGCACGCAGUGCUAGGAAACAAUAGUCCUUUGCCGUUCACAUGGAUGCGGAGUUACCGAUUUGGUUUACAGAGUCAAUAUGAGUCUGUAAAUGCUUUGCUGUCAAAAAAAAUAAAAAUAAAAUAAAUAAAUAAAACUGUAUUUUCCACAGUAUUAGAUACUCUGAUAUAAAAAAAAAAGAACUCUGGUAAUUGAAAACUCAAUCUCAUUCUCUUAACAUAAUCACACUUACAACCAACUGAACAUAGAAGAAAAUUUGCACAAAAUUAUAUAUUUCAUAAAAAACGAUACAUUAGCGGGACCUGCCUAGUCAUAUAUAUAAUGCCACUCUUUUCUCUGCAUCCACGUAUGCGUUUUUUUAAUGCUUGUGGGGCCCGCGUUAUUUCUGGUUUUUCUGGUCGAAGAGUUUGGUCUGAUUUAUGUCUUCAGCGUUUGGUUUGAUAAAACCGUGGAACUCUGCGUUUUGGCUUCACCCAAUUAGGGCUUCAAUUGUUAUCCUCCUUCCAGAACUCAACCUCGCCGUCUCCCCUUUUCAUAAUCUGCAAAGCUAAUGAUUCCUCCUCUCAUCUCUUUAUCUUCCCUAUCGUUCAAUAUAUUUCUAUUGCUCAACGUAUUUCUUUUGAUUAGCCAAUAAUUGUUAUUCACAUUAAACCCAGUAACAAUGUGGACCUUUCUGUUUCCUUCACGACAAUCUAUAAAUAGAAGAGGGUUGAGAGAAUGAUGGAUCUUCAUCUCCACUCAACAAGCUCCGAUUCUGUCCCGGAAUCCACUGCUCUGUUUUGGCCGGCGAGACCACAAAACGAUCCGUGGAAGAUGUCCCUGACAUAUCAUGGGACUGUGAGAUAGAUUCAGUCAAGAACGCCACUUCUCUUCAUAGAUUGCUCUCCAGUUCAGCAGAAAAUAGCUAUUGACAGAGUCGACAUCGGAGAGAGAGGACUUGAAUAAGCUGAAAAAGUAAAGAAAAGAAACUCACCGGUGAUUAUGGCUGUUGUGGAACGAGGGUCACAGUUCUCCGUUACCUCAUCGGCUGGAAUCAAUUACCUUCGCAGUCGAUGACGAUUCUCACGGGGUAACCAUGUACAUGAAGCCGCUAACAAUUGGGCGACCAAGGUAGGAAACGCCGUAGCACAG
rnacentral:lncRNA from 1 species